rnacentral:rRNA from 1 species
UACGAAGGGGGCUAGCGUUACUCGGAAUUACUGGGCGUAAAGCGUGCGUAGGUGGUUUUUUAAGUCCGUUGUGAAAGCCCUGGGCUCAACCUGGGAAUGGCAGUGGAUACUGGAAAGCUAGAGUGCGGUAGAGGGUAGUGGAAUUCCCGGUGUAGCAGUGAAAUGCGCAGAUAUCGGGAAGAACACCCGUGGCGAAGGCGGCUCUCUGGGACGGUACUGACGCUGAGACGCGAAAGCGUGGGGAGCGAACAGG